UACGUAGGGGGCGAGCGUUGUCCGGAGUUACUGGGCGUAAAGCGCACGCAGGCGGUCUGCUAAGUUUGGAGUGACAGUUGGUGGCUUAACUGCCAAAGUGCUUCGAAAACUGACAGACUUGGGAGGCUUCAGAGGGACACGGAAUUCCGGGUGGAGUGGUGAAAUGCGUAGAGAUCCGGAGGAACACCAAAGGCGAAGGCAGUGUCCUGGGGAGUACCUGACGCUCAGGUGCGAAAGCCAGGGGAGCGAACGGG
rnacentral:rRNA from 1 species